UGGGGAAUUUUGGACAAUGGGCGAAAGCCUGAUCCAGCAAUGCCGCGUGCAGGAUGAAGGCCUUCGGGUUGUAAACUGCUUUUGUACGGAACGAAAAAGCUCCUUCUAAUACAGGGGGCCCAUGACGGUACCGUAAGAAUAAGCACCGGCUAACUACGUGCCAGCAGCCGCGGUAAUACGUAGGGUGCGAGCGUUAAUCGGAAUUACUGGGCGUAAAGCGUGCGCAGGCGGUUAUGUAAGACAGAUGUGAAAUCCCCGGGCUCAACCUGGGAACUGCAUUUGUGACUGCAUGGCUAGAGUACGGUAGAGGGGGAUGGAAUUCCGCGUGUAGCAGUGAAAUGCGUAGAUAUGCGGAGGAACACCGAUGGCGAAGGCAAUCCCCUGGACCUGUACUGACGCUCAUGCACGAAAGCGUGGGGAGCAAACAG
rnacentral:rRNA from 1 species